AUGACUCGCGGUAAUCAGUGAGAGCUCACCCACCAGAGGACUAAAAAAGCAGAGAGACUAGGUUACGGGAAAGUGUCGAGAUGACGGGCUUUUUGCUGCCGCCUGCAAGCAGAGGACUCCAAGAUCAUUCAGCAGAAGCAGAAAAAGACAAAUGAGUAGGAGGAGGAAUCCAAGUAGCUUUGUGGCUUCGUGUCCAAUCCUCUUGCCCUUCACCUGUGUGCUUGGACCAGUUCUACCAUGCUUGUGUUUCCUCCUGCAUUGCUCACAGGUCCCAGCACCUAUGGCAUUCCCUUUGCCCUGAGUCUGCAGCGGGUCCCUUUUGAGCUUCCUUCCCCUCAGGUAGCCUCUCUCACCCAGGGCCACUCCCGGGGAUGAGGGGGUUACCCCUUCCCAGUGUUUUUAUUCCUGUGAGGCUCACCCCAAAGUAUUAAAAGUAGCUUU